GCAGGCAUCUAUCCAGCCUACA
rnacentral:miRNA from 17 species